rnacentral:rRNA from 1 species
UACGUGAGCCCCGAGCGUUAUCCGGAAUUACUGGGCGUAAAGCGUGCGUAGGUGGUGAGUUAAGUCUGUCGUGAAAGCCCCGGGCUCAACCUGGGAAUGGCGAUGGAUACUGGCUCGCUAGAGUGCGGUAGAGGAGAGUGGAAUUCCCGGUGUAGCAGUGAAAUGCGUAGAGAUCGGGAGGAACAUCAGUUGCGAAGGCGGCUCUCUGGACCAGCACUGACACUGAGGCACGAAAGCGUGGGGAGCAAACAGG